CGAGUCAAAAGCUGGAAAUUUAUGGUUUAUGGACGGUGAACAGAGCCGUCAAUGUAUAAUUAUUCUGUUUCUUCUUUUAUGAUUCUAUGUUUAGGAUUUAAUAAAAGUUAGCAUUGGGCUUGAUAAAUAAAAUAGGAUGACAUCAAUAUCAGAUACUUAUCUGGUGUAUUAUGAUUAGGAAUGUAGAAAGAAAAAUAUGAAUAAAAGUAGAAAUAUCUGCCAAAAUGUCCUUUAUAAUUCAGAUUUCAGAUUUAAUUUGACAACGAAACGGGAUCCAUAAUUAUUGAACUUUUCAUCCCCUAGUUAUGAGCGUGCUGAGUUUAGAAAUCCUAUAGUAUGUUAAAAGACAGAUUUUUCACUGUGAAUGUGGAUGCGUGUUGUCACUAGUAGUAGGUAAUUCUUAUUAACAAACUAUUUAUGAAUCAUGCUCCAUAUAUAAUUUACCCAACAUGUGGCCCAGGUAUGAUUAGACCAAAUUGCGAAUCAAAUAAAUUCUAGUGCUUGAAAAAGUUGAAGAAGAAUGGACAUAGGGUUGUAUUAUACUGAAAGUGUUGGGGAUUACAGACUUGAUAGAAUAUUAAAGUUUGAUGGAGGUGGCACAGGGCAAAAGAUACUUGUUGAGUAACUUACUUUGACAGGGUCGGAUGGAUGCACGAGUCUAGACAAUAAUCAUUCAUUAGAAAGAUUUUUGGGUUGAAUAGUUUUGGAGAAUUUUAGGGAUUUCAUUCGGCUCUUGUUAUGUGGUCUGCAACAUGUGACUGCAAGUGAAUGAGCUUUAAGAAGAAAAGUGGUGGUUGAAUCAAGACCUGGAGCUCUAAAAGUGCAAGAGUUCAUUAAACUAGAGUGUGGAUUCAUAAAUUGAUGGAAGAAUGAAAUAAUAUGAAAGAAGUAGUUCUUUCGUAUUAUAUGGAAUGAUCUUUCUUUUUAGAGUUUGUUUUUAAGAUUUUGUUAGUUCUUGAUAUUUAUAUUUUAAGUGUUAAUAUUGUGAGUUCAUUGUCUUCAUGCUCCCCCUGCACUAACAUUACACAUUGUGCUCGAAGGGGACUAGUUCCUGCUCAAGCGUCCAUCUUUAAGGAAGGAUCGCCUACGAAGACGAUGUGCAUUGAGUUGGUUGCCAAUCGUUUCCUGCGCAGGGUAUUUACUUCAACUAAUAUUCUUAUGAGAAAAAAUAGCAUGUCUGGUGGAAAACUUACUAGUUUCAUUUGACAUCUGUACUGCUUUAACUUGGCACUAGUAUGUCAUGUAUGAAGGCCGCAUGUUGAAAUUUUUAUGCAGUUUCAACAAUGUGACUCAAGGUCAUUUGAUAGCUCGUGGACAAAAAUCAUGACUUACUCAACUUUUUCAUUUACCAACUUGACACUAUUAUCACUCAUAGUUUACAUUGUUUUGACAAGCUAUAUAUUAUAUGUGUGUGUGCUUGUGCACUUGCGUUCACAGUGCUGUAAAUUGGCUUGUGCCACUGAAUAUCAAACUGUUUAUUGCCCCUAGUUUAGUAUUCAGUAGUCAAUGACAAAUUAUUAUUUUACUUU